rnacentral:lncRNA from 1 species
CUGUAAUGGUGUUCUUCACCUUCAAAGAUUUGAAGGUUGGGAAAACAAUGGAAGUUUAUUUUCCCAAGAGGGACCCUGCAACCUCUCCUAAGUUGUGGCCAAGAGAAGAAGCUGACUCUCUCCCUUUCUCCUUGAACCAACUCCCAAACCUCCUCAAAGUCUUCUCUUAUUCUCCAAGCUCUCCCCAAGCCAAAGCCAUGGAAGACACCCUGAGGGAAUGUGAGAGUAAACCCAUCAAAGGAGAGGAAAAGUUCUGUGCCACCUCUUUAGAAUCCAUGCUUGACUUCACUCAAACCAUUCUUGGCUUCACACAUGAUCUCCAAGUUUUCACCACCUCUCACCAGACCAAAUCCAGUGUCACUUUCCAAAACUACACUUUGGAAAACAUAGUAGAGAUCCCAGCUUCCAAGAUGGUGGCUUGCCAUACCAUGCCUUACCCUUACACUGUUUUUUACUGCCACAGCCAAGAAAGUGAGAAUAAGAUAUAUAGGGUGGGACUUGGUGGUGAAAACGGUGAUAGGGUGGAGGCCAUGGUUGUUUGCCACAUGGAUACCUCCCAAUGGGGUCAUAGUCAUGUUUCAUUUCAAGUUCUGAAGGUUGAACCAGGAACCACUUCUGUGUGCCACUUUUUUCCAGCAGAUAAUCUCAUCUUGGUUCAGAAACUGCAACAACACAGUCUUGCAACCAUGUGAUGUGAUGGUUUAAUUG